rnacentral:tRNA from 1 species
GGUGCUGUAGACUAAGUGGUUAGGUCGGCUUCACGGGAUAGAGGAGAUGCGGGUUCGAAUCCCGCCGGCGCUC